rnacentral:rRNA from 1 species
UACGUAGGGUGCAAGCGUUACCCGGAUUUAUUGGGCGUAAAGAGUGCGUAGGCGGUUUUGAAAGUCAUUAUUGAAAUCUUGGGGCUCAACCCCAAGCCUGGUAGUGAUACUUCAAGACUAGAUUACUUGAGGGGGUACCGGAACAGUUAGUGGAGCAGUGAAAUGCGUUGAGAUUAACUGGAACACCAAAGGCGAAGGCAGGUACCUGGCAAGUUUAUGACGCUGUUGCACGAAAGCGUGGGGAGCAAAACGG